UGCUAGAGGCACGGGUAGGAGUUGCCAGUGGGCUGUGGCCUGGGACCUGUGUUUCUUGGGCCUGACUUGUUGUCUUCUUUUGUGGUGGCUGUGGUGACUGUGCAGAGGAGCUCCGUGCCAAGUAUGGUGAGUUGCUGUGCUUGCCCACAGGCAUUCCCGAUGGGGGUAAGGCCUUGGGGAUGGUGAGGAGGGCUAUUCCAGCCAUGACAGGUGUUCCAAGUCAGCCUUUUGAGUAUGCCUGCAUGUUAUUGCCUCUUCUGUCUUUCUGAGUGCUGGUCCGGAGGAGAUGUUGUGUCCCUACACUCCUGGUCUCCCAUGAGGACUGUGGGAUUAGGGCCGUUGCAGUGCCAUGUCACUGAGACAGGAAGAGCAGCGUGAAGGGCCAUGGGGCUGGCCUGCACUGCAGCUGUGUGCUGCAGUGCUCAGAGCCCAAGGACCCCUUUUCCCCUCUAUGGACAUCGCAACCUGCCUGAAAAAUAUCCUGAUGUCUCUUCCUUCUUCCCACGCCUCUUUUUCAGAGGAGCUCCAGGCACGAGGAAGAUUAAGGGUGGAUGCAGAGAUAGAGGAGCUCCGUGCCAAGUCUGUGAUUCUGGAGAAGGAGAAUGAGGAGCUCCGUGCCAUGUCUGGUGAGUCCUUGUGCUUGCCCACAAGUGUUCCUGAUGGGGAUAAGGCCUUGGGGAUGGUGAGGAGGGCUAUUCCAGCCAUACUAAGUGUUCCCCGACAGUUUCAUGUGCAAGCCUGCCGCUUCUCCAUUCUCUGUGUUCCUGCUCCAAUGCCUCUUUGCAUGUGUAUUUUUCAGUAUAAUGAAGGUGUUGGUGUAGUGUGAGUGGGCCUUUAUGAAGGCAUCCCACACUUUUUUCCAACUCUAUAUGGAGGAUGUGUUAUUCAGCAAGGUUUCCUUCCUUUCCUCCUUUCUUUUUGCAGGGACCCUGAAGAAUGAGAUUGGUGAGUGAAGCUGUUCUACUGUUGGCCAACCAUGUCACCAGUUGGCAGGUUAUUGGGUCAUGAUGUUGUGUUUGAGGAGGUGUUGUGUGGAGGAGUCUUUGGAGCACAUGAGGGUGCAGAGGGGGCUGUAGUGGGAAGGCUGAGGCUGAGGCACCUCCAGAAUCCUAUGCUGAUCAUCGAUGGGUUGGAAUGUCCAAGCCUGAAUGUCCUUGAAUGCCCAUGGUGAGAAGUCUGUCUGAGGAAGAACUGUGUGAAGGAUUUGCUUCUUGUGCUUUCCUGCACCGUACUCUCCCACAUUUUCUAUUUGCAGAACUGCUGGCAUGUGUUCUUAACAAGUAUAUCAGAGGAGCUCCAGGCACAAGGCAGUGCAAGGAGACCUACAAACAUUUUCUACAGGGGAAAAUGCUUUAGAGAUGCUGAGGAGGGCUAUUCCAGCAAUGCCAGUUUCCUUC
rnacentral:lncRNA from 7 species